CAGUAGCCGCGGUAAUACGUAGGGUGCAAGCGUUAAUCGGAAUUACUGGGCGUAAAGCGUGCGCAGGCGGUUAUAUAAGACAGAUGUGAAAUCCCCGGGCUCAACCUGGGAACUGCAUUUGUGACUGUAUAGCUAGAGUACGGCAGAGGGGGAUGGAAUUCCGCGUGUAGCAGUGAAAUGCGUAGAUAUGCGGAGGAACACCGAUGGCGAAGGCAAUCCCCUGGGCCUGUACUGACGCUCAUGCACGAAAGCGUGGGGAGCAAACAGGAUUAGAGACCCCUGUAGUCCCUGUCUCUUAUAU
rnacentral:rRNA from 1 species